CAGUCGCCGCGGUAAUACGGAGGGUGCAAGCGUUAAUCGGAAUUACUGGGCGUAAAGCGCACGCAGGCGGUCUGUCAAGUCAGAUGUGAAAUCCCCGGGCUUAACCUGGGAACUGCAUUUGAAACUGGCAGGCUAGAGUCUUGUAGAGGGGGGUAGAAUUCCAGGUGUAGCGGUGAAAUGCGUAGAGAUCUGGAGGAAUAUCAGUGGCGAAGGCGGCCAUCUGGGACAACACUGACGCUGAGGCACGAAAGCGUGGGGAGCAAACAGGAUUAGAUACCCCUGUAGUCCCUGUCUCUUAUAC
rnacentral:rRNA from 1 species